CGCGUAGGUGGUUUGUUAAGCGAGAUGUGAAAGCCCCGGGCUUAACCCUGGGAACGGCAUUUCGAACUGGCAGGCUAGAGUGUGGUAGAGGGUAGUGGAAUUUCCUGUGUAGCGGUGAAAUGCGUAGAUAUAGGAAGGAACACCAGUGGCGAAGGCGGCUACCUGGACCCAACACUGACACUGAGGUGCGAAAGCGUGGGGAGCAAACA
rnacentral:rRNA from 1 species